rnacentral:rRNA from 1 species
UACGUAGGCAGCGAGCGUUGUUCGGAAUUACUGGGCGUAAAGAGUGUGUAGGCGGUGCUCCCAGUCUGUUGUGAAAUCUCCCGGCUUAACUGGGAGGGUGCAGCGGAAACUAGAGUGCUAGAGGGUGGGAGAGGUAAGCGGAAUUCCUGGUGUAGCGGUGAAAUGCGUAGAUAUCAGGAGGAACACCUGUGGCGAAGGCGAUCACCUGGGGUUGUUCUGACGCUGAGGAGCGAAAGCUAGGGGAGCAAACGGG